rnacentral:ncRNA from 1 species
CUGAACAGAACCUUUGCCGUAAGUCCUUUCACCAACGAGAUACGCAAUAUGAUAGUCUUUCAAUGCGCCCGCAAGAAUUUCUGAAGCACUUGCAGAACCUUUGUUUAUGAGGACGACAAUCGGGAUAUUCUUUUUUAUCACAGUCGUAUUUGAUUUUGCAGAAAAAGAUUUGUUUUCAGAAGCAAUUCUGCUUUUUGUAGAAACGAUGACCCCUGAAUCAAUAAAUUUGUCUGCAACUUUUACAGCGCUGUCAAGCAAACCGCCCGGAUUAUUACGCA